rnacentral:rRNA from 1 species
UUGAACGCUGGCGGCAGGCCUAACACAUGCAAGUCGAACGGUAACAGGAAGAAGCUUGCUUCUUUGCUGACGAGUGGCGGACGGGUGAGUAAUGUCUGGGAAACUGCCUGAUGGAGGGGGAUAACUACUGGAAACGGUAGCUAAUACCGCAUAACGUCGCAAGACCAAAGAGGGGGACCUUAGGGCCUCUUGCCAUCGGAUGUGCCCAGAUGGGAUUAGCUAGUAGGUGGGGUAAAGGCUCACCUAGGCGACGAUCCCUAGCUGGUCUGAGAGGAUGACCAGCCACACUGGAACUGAGACACGGUCCAGACUCCUACGGGAGGCAGCAGUGGGGAAUAUUGCACAAUGGGCGCAAGCCUGAUGCAGCCAUGCCGCGUGUAUGAAGAAGGCCUUCGGGUUGUAAAGUACUUUCAGCGGGGAGGAAGGUGUUGUGGUUAAUAACCACAGCAAUUGACGUUACCCGCAGAAGAAGCACCGGCUAACUCCGUGCCAGCAGCCGCGGUAAUACGGAGGGUGCAAGCGUUAAUCGGAAUUACUGGGCGUAAAGCGCACGCAGGCGGUCUGUCAAGUCGGAUGUGAAAUCCCCGGGCUCAACCCUGGGAACUGCAUUCGAAACUGGCAGGCUUGAGUCUCGUAGAGGGGGGUAGAAUUCCAGGUGUAGCGGUGAAAUGCGUAGAGAUCUGGAGGAAUACCGGUGGCGAAGGCGGCCCCCUGGACGAAGACUGACGCUCAGGUGCGAAAGCGUGGGGAGCAAACAGGAUUAGAUACCCUGGUAGUCCACGCCGUAAACGAUGUCUAUUUGGAGGUUGUGCCCUUGAGGUGUGGCUUCCGGAGCUAACGCGUUAAAUAGACCGCCUGGGGAGUACGGCCGCAAGGUUAAAACUCAAAUGAAUUGACGGGGGCCCGCACAAGCGGUGGAGCAUGUGGUUUAAUUCGAUGCAACGCGAAGAACCUUACCUGGUCUUGACAUCCACAGAACUUUCCAGAGAUGGAGGGGUGCCUUCGGGAACUGUGAGACAGGUGCUGCAUGGCUGUCGUCAGCUCGUGUUGUGAAAUGUUGGGUUAAGUCCCGCAACGAGCGCAACCCUUAUCCUUUGUUGCCAGCGGUUAGGCCGGGAACUCAAAGGAGACUGCCAGUGAUAAACUGGAGGAAGGUGGGGAUGACGUCAAGCCAUCAUGGCCCUUACGACCAGGGCUACACACGUGCUACAAUGGCGCAUACAAAGAGAAGCGAACUCGCGAGAGCAAGCGGACCUCAUAAAGUGCGUCGUAGUCCGGACUGGAGUCUGCAACUCGACUCCAUGAAGUCGGAAUCGCUAGUAAUCGUGGAUCAGAAUGCCACGGUGAAUACGUUCCCGGGCCUUGUACUCACCGC